GAUGAACGCUGGCGGUAUGCCUAACACAUGCAAGUCGUACGAGAGUUUUUAACUCUAGUGGCGGACGGGUGAGUAACACGUGAGAAUUUGCCUUUAGGAGGGGGAUAACAAUUGGAAACGAAUGCUAAUACCCCAUAUGCUUUUGAGUGAAACGGAUUUAUCCGCCUAGAGAGAAGCUCGCGGCUGAUUAGCUUGUUGGUAAGGUAAGAGCUUACCAAGGCGACGAUCAGUAUCUGGUUUGAGAGGACGAUCAGACACACUGGAACUGAGACACGGUCCAGACUCCUACGGGAGGCAGCAGUGGGGAAUUUUCCGCAAUGGGCGAAAGCCUGACGGAGCAAUACCGCGUGAGGGAUGAAAGCCUGUGGGUUGUAAACCUCUUUUCUCAAGGAAGAAUCAUGACGGUACUUGAGGAAUAAGCAUCGGCUAACUCUGUG
rnacentral:rRNA from 1 species